rnacentral:lncRNA from 1 species
GAGUAGGUCCUCAUACUCAUACUGACAAUGCUGUAACUUGCAGGUUAAAAAAUUCUCCUGGAAUACGUGUUCCCAGAGUGGGUGUGUCUGGACUAACCCCAGAGACAGACCAGUAGGACACUGGUGUCGUGCUGCAGUUCACCAUGUUUCAGGGGAGGUCUGGUUCAGCAGAUUCUUCUUCUUUGGUAUUGGAUACAAUGGUUGGUACCUUUUUAGAUGUCUAGACUGUGUGUAUGAACCAUAGUGUCAGCCAUAGUUAUAUAAAGGGACACACGCUGGAGGCUAAACGAAGACUCACAUGUCGAAGCAUUGAGGGACAUAUGAAAUAA